rnacentral:lncRNA from 1 species
UUUUUUCUAUUUGUAAUGUUAUUUCUAUCGCGGAAAAGUGGUUAUUUUUUUAACAAUUUUAAUUGAAUCGAAUGAAAAGUUCAGAAAGAUUGUCUUUUGAAUAGCAAUACAUUUUAUUAACAGAUAAUCAGGAUAUAAUUAUAUACCCUCCGCACCCGACCCUUUUCUGAGUUACGUUAAUGUUAUUCAAUAGAAUAUAAGAUAAUCUUAUUAGUUGAUCAUUUGAUAGAGUAAAAGGUAUACAUAAAUUUAAAAAAGUUAAGAACUGACACACAGGCGAAUAUAACUACAUGUAGGUCACAGUAUGAUUUCCUAUUCAGCGUUUAUCGUCCUGAACAUGCAUGAAAUAUUUGCCACUGGACGUUAAGCAAGCAACCAAAAAUCAACCAACCUAUUCAGUGAGACUCAAUAAGAUUUUCAAAAUCUAACACACGAGUAUGUUAAAUCUGGCUUUUUAUUUAUGAAAGUCUAUAUUAAAAUUCAUCUCACAUAUAUGAUAAUGUUUCUUUAUUGUAGCGAUAAAUUAACAAAUCUUCACGCGUUAUUUGUUUCUAAAAUUAAAAUGCGGGCAAUGAAGGUUUCUUUUACAUCUAUCAUCGAUUGAACUUUAAAAUAUAAAUUUCCAAAUCGGCAAC